UGGGGAAUAUUGCACAAUGGGCGCAAGCCUGAUGCAGCCAUGCCGCGUGUAUGAAGAAGGCCUUCGGGUUGUAAAGUACUUUCAGCGGGGAGGAAGGGAGUAAAGUUAAUACCUUUGCUCCUUGACGUUACCCGCAGAAGAAGCCCCGGCUAACUCCGUGCCAGCAGCCGCGGUAAUACGGAGGGUGCAAGCGUUAAUCGGAAUUACUGGGCGUAAAGCGCACGCAGGCGGUUUGUUAAGUCAGAUGUGAAAUCCCCGGGCUCAACCUGGGAACUGCAUCUGAUACUGGCAAGCUUGAGUCUCGUAGAGGGGGGUAGAAUUCCAGGUGUAGCGGUGAAAUGCGUAGAGAUCUGGAGGAAUACCGGUGGCGAAGGCGGCCCCCUGGACAAAGACUGACGCUCAGGUGCGAAAGCGUGGGGAGCAAACAGG
rnacentral:rRNA from 1 species